rnacentral:ncRNA from 1 species
UGCCACAACGGCUUCCUGACGUGGCACGGAUUAACAACGGAGCA